AGCGAACGCUGGCGGCAUGCCUAACACAUGCAAGUCGAACGAACCUUUCGGGGUUAGUGGCGGACGGGUGCGUAACACGUGGGAACGUGCCUUUAGGUUCGGAAUAACUCAGGGAAACGUGUGCUAAUACCGAAUGUGCCCUUCGGGGGAAAGAUUUAUCGCCUUUAGAUCGGCCCGCGUCUGAUUAGCUAGUUGGUUGAGGUAAUGGCUCACCAAGGCGACGAUCAUUAGCUGGUCUGAGAGGAUGAUCAGCCACAUUGGGACUGAGACACGGCCCAAACUCCUACGGGAGGCAGCAGUGGGGAAUCUUGCGCAAUGGGCGAAAGCCUGACGCAGCCAUGCCGCGUGAAUGAUGAAGGUCUUAGGAUUGUAAAAUUCUUUCACCGGGGACGAUAAUGACGGUACCCGGAGAAGAAGCCCCGGCUAACUUCGUG
rnacentral:rRNA from 1 species